AGCCCUGCUCAGUGGUAGUAUCAUAGCCAAUGAGGUUUAUCCAAGGCAUGAUUAUUGCAACUGAGAACUUUCCACAUCUCUAUUAAGGUAUGUGACACUCUGUAUUUUACUGAAUGAAUUCA
ensembl:snRNA U4 U4 spliceosomal RNA